rnacentral:other from 1 species
GGUACUCUAUUUAUAUCGCGACUAGAGUUAAAUUUUUGUGUCAACAAAUUUACAUUGGAAGCCCAAACUCUGACUGCAGCGUAAAUGCCCAUCAUCGAGUGGGACUUAUAAAACAGACAGGAGGCAUCCACCUGCUGAGCGCAGGGCGCAAAAACUUCCUAUAGUUACGACUAAGUGGAGUAUCC